UUAAAUUGAAGAGUUUGAUCAUGGCUCAGAUUGAACGCUGGCGGCAGGCCUAACACAUGCAAGUCGAACGGUAACAGGAAGCAGCUUGCUGCUUUGCUGACGAGUGGCGGACGGGUGAGUAAUGUCUGGGAAACUGCCUGAUGGAGGGGGAUAACUACUGGAAACGGUAGCUAAUACCGCAUAACGUCGCAAGACCAAAGAGGGGGACCUUCGGGCCUCUUGCCAUCGGAUGUG
rnacentral:rRNA from 1 species